UACGUAGGGGGCAAGCGUUGUCCGGAAUCAUUGGGCGUAAAGCGCGCGUAGGCGGCCCUGUAAGUCCGUUGUGAAAGUCGAAGGCUCAACCUUCGAAAGCCGAUGGAUACUGCAGGGCUAGAGUCCGGAAGAGGCGAGUGGAAUUCCUGGUGUAGCGGUGGAAUGCGCAGAUAUCAGGAGGAGCACCAAUGGCGAAGGCAGCUCGCUGGGACGUGACUGACGCUGAGACGCGAAAGCGUGGGGAGCAAACAGG
rnacentral:rRNA from 1 species